rnacentral:ncRNA from 1 species
CUGGACACCUUGGGGAGCCCCGUCCGGGGGCUGAGAGGCGGGCUUCACCCGCGACCCAUGGAACCUGAUCCGGUUCGGACCGGUGUAGGGAACGGUGCCACCCGUUCGU